AUUGAACGCUGGCGGCAGGCCUAACACAUGCAAGUCGAACGAGUGGCGGACGGGUGAGUAAUGUCUGGGAAACUGCCUGAGGGAGGGGGAUAAAUACUGGAAACGGUAGAUAAUAACGCAUACAAUCAGAUGUACCCAGAUGGGAUAAGCUUGUUGGUGGGGUAACGGCUCACCAAGGCGACGAUCCCUAGCUGGUCUGAGAGGAUGACACGCCACACUGGAAGUGAGACACGGUCUAGAUCCCUACGUGAGGCAGCAGUGGGGAAUGGUGCACAAUGGGAGCAAGCCUGAUGCAGCCAUGGCGCGUGUAUGAAGAAGGCCUUCGGGUUGUAAAGUACUUUCAGCGGGGAGGCGUUACCCGCAGAAGAAGCACCGGCUAACUCCGUGCCAGCAGCCGCGGUAAUAC
rnacentral:rRNA from 1 species